rnacentral:rRNA from 1 species
UACAGAGGUCUCAAGCGUUGUUCGGAUUCAUUGGGCGUAAAGGGCGCGUAGGCGGCGGGGUAAGUCGGGUGUGAAAUCUCAGGGCUCAACCCUGAAACUGCACUCGAUACUGCUCUGCUUGAGGACUGGAGAGGAGACUGGAAUUCACGGUGUAGCAGUGAAAUGCGUAGAUAUCGUAAGGAAGGCCAGUGGCGAAGGCGGGUCUCUGGACAGUUCCUGACGCUGAGGCACGAAGGUCAGGGGAGCAAACGGG